GAAAAAAGAGAGAGUUCAAGAGAAAUGAAGAGAGUGAGAGAGAGAGCACGUAACUGGUCGACCCAAUCUCUGAUCUCCUGUGCUAAUGCUAAAAUAAAGUUUAGGGUUCUGUAGAUUGAAAAUACCAGAUGCCUUGAGGUUUGAAUUCGCGUUUUGGUGUUUUUCAGAUGCACAUCGCCAGAUCUAUGGUUACGAGUUCUUAUUUCACCUUCUUUCUCUUUGCCUCAUACUAUCAAAGCAGCAGCACAUGAAGCUUCUUUAUAGAUUGCAUUGGCAUAAAUAGAGUACCAGUUACUAAGACUAACAAACAUGUAGACACAACUUGAACGUCGAUCAGGAGGAAAAGUCAAAGGUAUGUGGGAGAAAAUUGAAGUGGAGAAACGUAUUUUACGUAGUCAAAUUGGUGUUCUUAGAAAAGAUUUCGAAUCUGUUUAGAAAUACAGGAAACAAUAUUGGACAAAGCAUCAUUCAACACAUGUGCCAGUUGUGUCAAUUGUUGGAUACACGAAUGUUGGAAAGAUUACACUUUUAAAUCAGUUAACAGGGAUGUUCUUGCUCAGUUGCUGGUUGUUUGCAACACUUGAUCCAACUACAAGGAGGGUACAUGCUGAUGAAGAAAGGAGUUUCUGCUUACGGAUAUUGUUGGAUUUCUUCGUUUGAGUUAAGCGGGGCCUGGCACGAUGUUGAGGCGUUGAUCAAAGGACUUUCUUCCGAUCAUCCUUAAUGACUAUUUUUCGGGACAAAUAUGUUAUGGGCAUGCUUGAACCAAGUCUUUGGGAUGUUCGGAAUUCAUUUGGCGAGUUGUAAGAUGACACAUUGACAACCAAGAUGUAGACAGUUCCAUCUUUUCUUAGUUUCCUUCACAUGGGAAGCAAAAACAAUAUUAUAAAUUAAUCUAGCAGUGAAGUGAAGACUCAUCGGAAACCUGUGAUUCAGUGAAAUUGGUACAAACAAUUUAACAGUUUUGUUAAGCAUUCAUGAGUAUCCAACUACAGAGACAAGAGAACACACUCCCUGAAAUGUGUUGUUAACCAAGCCCCUUACAUAGCUGCUGAAACUGUCGCAACAAGUUCGUCCAGCCCUACUCCCGCAGUUAAGUUAUCCCACCCAACAACACCAGCCCAGAAAGGAAACAUGGAAAUCUCAGCAAAGAGGCCCUUGUAGAUUUAGAGCCGCCACCGAAAAGGCCAGCUAAAAGCGGAAUGGCGAACUAAAACUUAAAUCGGUGAAGACGUCCCUUUUGUCCACCUAAAAGAAGAAGCAACGGUGGGAUAGCAGUCAAGAACUAGAAUCGCUAAAGUCGUUUCUUUUGAACUAAUCAUACUUGAAACUCAACACAUCUAUGACUGCCUAAUGACUAGAAGUCGUAUGCCUAGACAAUGCUUGCAGUCGUACCUGAAUGAAUCUAACUUGUAAUGUCGCGCAACGCGCGACAUCAAAUACCCCUAGUUAGUUUAAUUAAGAAUCUUAAUUUGUUAACGUAUGUUUCCAUAUUGCUUUGGUAUUUAUUUGUACAUAUUGAAUACUUUUAUCUACAUAUAGUGUGGUUAAUGUCUACAAUUUAAAAUAUAUUUACCAAC
rnacentral:lncRNA from 1 species